AAGCUAAACCACUCCAGGUGGUUUUCAGUGUUGGUUUGCCUGGGGAUGCAGCCAUUGGACCUGUCAACUUACCCACAACCUUAGUCUACACAAGAGUAAUAACAAAUGUGGGCAAUGCCUACAACCAGCUCACAGGUAUCUUUGUUGCACCUGUUAGAGGCAUGUACCACUUCUCCUUCUUCUAUCAUGCUGGUGGAGAACGUGCAGUGAAUCUGUUCCUCAUGAAGAACCAUGAAUAUAUUCUGGCGAGCUCUGAUCACAUGACUCUGCUUGAUGGGGCUGAUAAUGGAGGCAAUGCUGCCUUCUUGGAGCUGCAGCAGGGAGACCGGGUCUACGUCCAGCUGGAGGCAAACACACAUGUUUGGGGAAACAGCUACACAACUACUUUUAGUGGCUUUCUUCUGUACCAAAUCUGAAAUAAGAUUGAUGUGAUCAUUUGAAUGACUUGAACCUACUAACCAGACAGUGCGCCAAUGCCAUGGUUAAUGUUCUUCAAAUUAUAAUUAAAUUGAAUGAAAAUGAUCCAUCCAACAGAACUUGCUUUCACAUAACAUGAACGUCACCCUGGAACAUCAGUGAAGGCCUUACUUUGAAGAAAAGAGCCUUGCUAACAAAAAUAUCAGAGGUAUAAAUGCCAAGAAAAAUAAAAUAUGUAUAUAGAUACAUGCAAAAAGCCAUCCAGAAAAUCAAUAAAAGGUUUGAAUUUAUGUAAUUCAGGAUUUUUCCAGAAUUAUUAUUUUUUUAAUAAAAUCUGAGGGGACAUUAUGGUUUUAUGGUGUUUUAAUGUGUGUAUAAAUGGAUUUAAGUUUGUUGAUAAAGCUUGAAUUGACAUGAACAGAAAUUACAGUCAGUCAAUAAAUAAAAAUAUGCAUUCCA